AGGGGUGUAGCUCAGUGGUAGAGCACUUACUCGCAUGUAGGAGGCCCUGAGUUCAAUCCCCAGCACCCCCU
rnacentral:tRNA from 1 species